rnacentral:misc_RNA from 1 species
AUAUGGUUGUGAAGUGUGGG